AGAACUUCCCGGACCCCACUCUGUUCCUGGGGAUCCGCCCUUCCCACCAGAGCACCCCAAGGUAAAAUCCUCUACCAAGAGAAACAUAUAGCACAAGCCAAAAACAGUUUCCUGCCAGCAUUUUUUCAUGGGAUCUGCAUUUGAGAAAAUUGGUUUUCCAAAGGAACAAAAAGUUGGAAGUAUUGAAGCCGCUCAUAGCCUAAGUCCCGGAAUGAUACUUUGGAACCCCCAGGUGACCUGGAACCACCUUGCACUGUUACGUGAGAAAUAAAACUAUAUGUAUGCAUGCCUC